AAUGAACGCUAGCGGCAGGCCUAACACAUGCAAGUCGAGGGGUAAAACACUUCGGUGUUUGAGACCGGCGCACGGGUGCGUAACGCGUAUGCAAUCUACCUUGUACAGGGGAAUAGCCCAGAGAAAUUUGGAUUAAUGCCCCAUAGUAUAUAACCUUCGCAUGUUGGUUAUAUUAAAGUUCCAACGGUACAAGAUGAGCAUGCGUCCCAUUAGUUAGUUGGUAAGGUAACGGCUUACCAAGACGAUGAUGGGUAGGGGUCCUGAGAGGGAGAUCCCCCACCCUGGUACUGGGACACGGACCAGACUCCGACGGGAGGCAGCAGUGAGGAAUAUUGGUCAAUGGGCGCAAGCCUGAACCAGCCAUGCCGCGUGCAGGAAGACGGUCCUAUGGAUUGUAAACUGCUUUUAUACAGGAAGAAACCCUCCCAUGUGUGGGAGAUUGACGGUACUGUAGGAAUAAGGAUCGGCUAACUCCGUGCCAGCAGCCGCGGUAAAAC
rnacentral:rRNA from 1 species